rnacentral:rRNA from 1 species
CUCCGGGUUGAUCCUGCCGGACCCGACUGCUAUCAGAGUGAGAUUAAGCCAUGCGAGUUAACGUAGCAAUACGUGGCGCACGGCUCAGUAACACGUAGUCAACAUGCCCAGAGGACGUGGAUAACCUCGGGAAACUGAGUCUAAACCGCGAUAAGUGAGGAUUUCUGGAAUGGUUCCUGACUAAAAUCUAUAUGGCCUCUGGAUUGGACUGCGGCCGAUCAGGCUGUUGGUGAGGUAAUGGCCCACCAAACCUGUAACCGGUACGGGCUCUGAGAGGAGGAGCCCGGAGAUGGGCACUGAGACAAGGGCCCAGGCCCUAUGGGGCGCAGCAGGCGCGAAACCUCUGCAAUAGGCGAAAGCCUGACAGGGUUACUCUGAGUGACUUUCGCUAAGAAAGUCUUUUGGCACCUCUAAAAAGGGUGCAGAAUAAGGGGUGGGCAAGUCUGGUGUCAGCCGCCGCGGUAAUACCAGCACCCCGAGUGGUCGGGACGAUUAUUGGGCCUAAAGCAUCCGUAGCCGGUUCUGCAAGUCCCCCGUUAAAUCCAGCUGCUCAACAGAUGGGCCGCGGAGGAUACUACAGAGCUAGGAGGCAGGAGAGGCAAGCGGUACUCAGUGGGUAGGGGUAAAAUCCGUUGAUCCAUUGAAGACCACCAGUGGCGAAGGCGGCUUGCCAGAAUGCGCUCGACGGUGAGGGAUGAAAGCUGGGGGAGCAAACCGGAUUAGAUACCCGGGUAGUCCCAGCCGUAAACGAUGCAGACUCGGUGAUGGGUUGGCUUCGCGCUAACCCAGUGCCGCAGGGAAGCCGUUAAGUCUGCCGCCUGGGUAGUACGGUCGCAAGACUGAAACUUAAAGGAAUUGGCGGGGGAGCA